GCUUGACUGCAGCUCGGGAGCCAAGGGGUGGGAGGUGUGUGGGUGGAAGCACAGACAAGGCCUCCCACAGCUGUUCUCACAGGACCCUGCUCCAGGUUACACAGCUGUGCUACAGCAGGGGAUGGCUUGAACACAGGCAGCUGAAGCCUAGAGGAGAGAGGGUGGAUGGUGACCAUUGCAAAGGUUUUGUGGGGAAGAAAGAUUGCAGGCUCCUCAAGGUAGUUGCAGCUUUUUUGUGGGGCUGGGAUUUUGGUUCUGAAACAUUUCCUUUUUUAAGUUAGGGGAUAGUGAGAUAUCUGGCUGAGGUGAUCCAGCUAUGUAUGAAAUGUCUCUCUUCUUGCUGCUCCUAUGGGGUGAGUUCAGGAAACUCCAGUGACCCCUUGUACUUUCAGCACUGUAAAAGCACCAGGAUGUGUUACUCUUCUCUGCUGCGCUUGGUUUCCUGCUUCGGGAGUACACUAGUUGCAAAACUCCUUUUCAGGUCUUCUCUGUGUCAUUAGACCAUCCUUUCUGUUCCUGGACCAAAUGAUUUAAUUAUUUCAUGUGAAGUGGAACAGCUUUAACAGAGAUGAAUGACAGUAUCUAUUUUAGAAUACUCAGGAUUACCUGUCCAGCUAUUUUUCUUGUGUGCUUUAAGCCUGGCAUUUCUUAGGCAUUGUAAGAGCUGAUUGAUUUUACUCUGUUCUGUCUCUUGGUGUACAACUGUUUAAUCCAAAGCUGCCUUGCCACCCUCUUGUAUUGGGUAUUUUCUCAUCUAUGUAGUGUGUUCUGAAUUAUAAUAUGGAUUUGGAGGGCUGACUAUAAAUAAGUAGUUUUGAGAAUUUUUUUGAGAAUUCCUUCUCUUUGUAUUCCACCAGGUUAUGAAAAUGCCUAUAGGAAUGAUUAUGUAACAGAAGCAGACAAUAAUAAAAUUUAUGAUAGAAUUUGGGUCUGACAAGAUGCUGUGUAAGAUGAAAUGCUAUCAUGCCUGCCUCAUUAAAUCUACAGGGAAAGAAGGGGGAGUGAAUUUUCUGCACUCUCCCAAAA
rnacentral:lncRNA from 1 species